rnacentral:ncRNA from 1 species
AAAAAAUUUAAUUUAUAUUUAGAAAUUUAUUUUAUAAUUGUUAGUAUAAAUAAAUUUUUAUAAAAUUAUUAAAAAAUUUAAAUAAUUUUUUAAAAAAUUAAUUUAUAUUUAUAAUGAAAUUAAUUAAGAAAUUAAAUUUAGUAAUUUAUAUAAAAAUAAAGAUAAAUUUUAGUGCCAGCAAUAGCGGUUAAACUAGGUAUUAUGAGUAAAUUUAAUUAAUUAGAAUUAAUAGGUUGAAAGUUUAUAAAAUUUAAUAUUAAUAGUUUAUUAUAUGGUGAAAUAUGUAAUAAAUUUAAAAUAUUAAAAUAUUAAAUAAUUUUGAUAUAAUGAAAUUAAAAAAAAAACUAGGAUUAGAGACCCUAUUAUUAUAAUAUAAAGUAGGAUAAUUGGAAAAUAAAUGUAAAUCAUUAAAAUUUAAAUAAUUUGGCGGUAUUUUAAAAAGUUAGAGGAAUUUGUCUUAUAAAUGAUAAUCCACGAUAGGAAGGUCUUAAUAAAAAUUUUAUAUAUUGUUGUUUAAAAAUUAUUUUAGGAAAAUUAUAAUUAUUAAAUUUAAUAAAAAAAUUUGAAUUCAAAUCAAAAUGUAGAAUUGUUAAGUAAAGAUGAGUUAUAUUUUAGUUUAUAAAAGAAUAUUUUAAAAAUUUUAAAUAUUUUGAAUAUAAAGGAUUUAAUAGUAAAUUUAAUAAAUUUGUUAAAUUGAAAAUUAAAUAAAAUAUGUACAAAUUGCCCGUCAUUUUCAUAAAUAAAUAGUUGAAAAAAGUCGUAACAAAGUAAAUGUACAGGAAUGUGUAUUUAGAU